GAUGAACGCUGGCGGCGCGCCUAACACAUGCAAGUCGAACGAUUAAAGCACCUUCGGGUGUGUAUAAAGUGGCGAACGGCUGAGUAACACGUGGGCAACCUGCCCCUUUCAUUGGGAUAGCCACGGGAAACCGUGGAUAAUACCGAAUACUUCGAGACUUCCGCAUGGAAGACUCGAGAAAGCUCCGGCGGAGAGGGAUGGGCCCGCGGCCUGUUAGCUUGUUGGUGGGGUAACGGCCUACCAAGGCAAUGAUGGGUAGCUGGGUUGAGAGACCGACCAGCCAGAUUGGGACUGGGACACGGCCCAGACUCCUACGGGAGGCAGCAGUGGGGAAUCUUGCACAAUGGGCGAAAGCCUGAUGCAGCGACGCCGCGUGCGGGAUGAAGGCCUUCGGGUUGUAAACCGCUUUCAGCAGGGACGAGGCGAAAGUGACGGUACCUGCAGAAGAAGCCCCGGCUAACUACGUG
rnacentral:rRNA from 1 species